rnacentral:rRNA from 1 species
UACGUAGGGUGCGAGCGUUAAUCGGAAUUACUGGGCGUAAAGCGUGCGCAGGCGGCUUUGCAAGACAGAUGUGAAAUCCCCGGGCUCAACCUUGGAACUGCAUUUGUGACUGCAAGGCUAGAGUACGGCAGAGGGGGAUGGAAUUCCGCGUGUAGCAGUGAAAUGCGUAGAUAUGCGGAGGAACACCAAUGGCGAAGGCAAUCCCCUGGGCCUGUACUGACGCUCAUGCACGAAAGCGUGGGGAGCAAACAGG